UACGUAGGGGGCAAGCGUUGUCCGGAUUUAUUGGGCGUAAAGAGCGUGUAGGCGGGUUGGUAGGUCCGUUGUGAAAACUCGAGGCUCAACCUCGAGACGCCGAUGGAAACCAUCAGACUAGAGUCCGGAAGAGGAGAGUGGAAUUCCUGGUGUAGCGGUGAAAUGCGCAGAUAUCAGGAAGAACACCCGUGGCUAAGGCGGCUCUCUAGUACGGUACUGACGCUGAGACGCGAAAGCGUGGGGAGCGAACAGG
rnacentral:rRNA from 1 species